GGAAGGGAAGGGAAGGGAAGGGAAGGAAGUUUUUACAGCGUGCCCUGACCCUCAACCUGUGAAGAGCAUCUUGAUUUUCCUCCCCUAAUAUUCCAGAAACACAGGCCUGCUGCUCUCCUUACCAUAGCGGAGGUGAAUAAUGCAGAUGGCAAUUGCAAAUGCUUUCCAAAUCUCAGUCGAGCAUGUGCUUAUUAGUCUGAGCAGUGUCAAGGUCCUGUCAGGCAGCGAAACCCCUGCAGGGUUAGGAGCUGCCAGUGCAUGUGAGGACAUUUGCUGCUUUCUGCCACAAUUCUCAGGGUGUGUGUGAAGCUGAGCAUUGCCCUGGUGUCACAGGGAUCGCUGCCAGCAAAGCUUUUUGGGGGUGAAUAAAUCAGCCUGCUCAAAUUAGGAAGGGAUCUAAGGUCUUGCUCGUAACCCAAAUCAAGUAAAACAAAGCUUUUAUUUUGGUCUAAUUUAGAAGAGGUUUAACUCUGUUUGGCAUGAAGCCCUCUAAGCUCCCUCCUAGUCCGUCAUGCAAGUGUCAAAGAAAUUUCUAUAGCUCAGCCAGAAAAGCUUUCAGCUGUUCUCAACCAGCAGUUAUUCCUGUGGAGCCGAGAGGAUGAGUUUGGGCAGCACCAAAACCCACCUUUAUGGUGGAAAUGUUGAACAAACCCUUAGGGAUUGCUCUUGAGACUCAUAUUGAAGCCAAUGCUUCAAGUCCAGGGCUUUGUAUGCUCUAGAAAAUAGGAGACAGAGCUGUAACACAGAAGACGAAAGUCAAGUAUUUUUCCAUCGAGACAGCAAGGUUACACAGGACAGCUGCUGUCUAACGUUUUACAAUCAUCAAAUGUAAGGAAUUUGUAUUAAGGAGCUGGAGAGAAGUGCUCUUUGGAGCUCUGAACCCUGCAUUUUAGUUACCGAGUGGAAAAAAAGCUUUUUGUUAACAUUUUAUGAAAAUGGAGUGAUGGCGGUCGAUACAAGUCUUGACAUUGAUCCAAAACAAAAUAAUGGAAUGACUGAAAUAAGACUGAAUAAAGAGCUAAAGGAGGACCACUUGGUUAAUGUCAGUCUAUCUACCUGAGCUUCAGGAAAACAGAUUUUGUCAAAAAAUGGUGCAUUUUACUGAGAUUGCAAGCUUUCCUGAUAAAAGGCUCAGUAGAAUUGGAGCACGACUCCUUUGCAUCUUGAUCAAGAAACAAAACGAACAACAUCCAACAGAAAGUGGUUUCGACACCGACAGGCCUCCGCGCGGAGAUGGAUGGAGGGAAUCAUCUCCGAGCUGGUGUGUGUUUAGCAUGGGUCCCCAGGGGUCAUUUGUUGGCGUUUCACUAUUUAACACUUGCGUCGAUAGCUCGCUGGAAAACAAAGCCAUUACCGAUAAUGCUUGCAGAUGUGCACGCAGGCUGGAGACUGCUGAGGUAACGAAUAACUCGGCUCGCUGAGGAGCCAUCUGGAUUAUUCAAUAAGCUAGGAGAAUGCAGGAAGGGCUCAUUGAUGGUUUGCCCAGUGAAGGGGCUCGUAUUUAGCGAUUGGGGCAGCAGGUCUUGUGGGGCCAGAGGCUUUGGUCCUGGAGAGGAGUGACUGGGGGAUCCUGACAUAGAAAAGGGGAUUUAAAUCCUGAUGCUUCACCAACACGUAGCGUUUGAUAAGGCACGGUUGCAGAUGUGAAGGGAACCAUUAGAAAGCUCAGCACAGUCUUGGUAAAAGGAAGUAGAUUGUUUACAGAGCCACUGCACGUUGGAUAAAAUCCACUUUUGUGCAGGGGACUAGCGCAGAUAACAUCUCGGCUUUGAAUGAGAUUUUCAUCUUAGGCUGCCUCUCAGUGCAGGGGUGGAGUUUAUCCUUUGAGCCUGUGUGUGUAAUGGUGCUACAGCAGGAUUUCAACUCUGUAUUUGCUGUUUUCCUGGCAAACAUUUAGGUAAAUGUUGCAUUAAGUAGACGUUUAUUUUUAAUAACAUCGACAUUUAUCUUGCUUCUCUCCUGACAUUUUUAGCAUCUUCCCAGAUAUCUGCAUAGCUAUUUCUGUUCUAAAAUUUGCACUAAUUAAUUGCUUUUCUGUGUAUCUAAGGGAACAGCUAUCAGCAAAGAGAAAGGAAAGCACUACAGUUACGCAUUUUGAUUAAAGAUAAAUUGAAAUACUUAAAGACGUGGUAUUUAACUUAGAUGCUUCAGGGCUGAAAACCUACAUCCUGGUACCUGUUAAGAAAUACCUCGCUCCCUAAAUGAUCUCUAUUCCAGGCAUUUCUGACAUGAGUAAGGACAGUCGUGGAAUGUGGCCCGCGGUAAUUACUGUUUUGAGACAAGGGGGACGCUUUCUGCUCACCCAGAAAUAAAUCAUUUUGAUCACUCUUCUCCUGUUGCAGAGCUCUGUUUGUAUAAUUUAAGAUGCACAGCACAGUAGGGAAGCCUUUUAGGGUUGGACCAUGCCAACAGCCAGCAGCAAGACAGCUAAUGCGAGCGAUGGGCGAUCAGAGCAGCAGCGAUGGCUUCUGGAGCCGACUAGCCUUGGGGAUGCUGCGCGGUGCCGCACGCCCUGCAUUGUUCAGGAACCAGCACUGAUCCUUCUGGAGGCCUGUAUGCCAUGACUGAGUGCUGCUGGAGAGGCUUUUGGAGAGGAAGGAGAGAAUGCCCCCUUUGAGAGCACAUUUGCUGAAAGCUGUGGAUGGAUCCGCUCCAUACACCCAUGGGGUAGGCUCAUGAGCAGAGAGCUUCUUGCUGAGGUAUUAACCACCCCCUUGGGAAGGGUUUCUAAAAACAGCUUUUUUUUUUAUUACACAGAGAGCAUUUGAAACAAACCGUUUAAGGCAAAAAUUGCUGAUGUGCUUGUAUCGAUUCCCUUUCUGGGGCUGUUUCUUCUUUCAUUAGUCUUGACACUGAAAUGCUCUGGGAAAUCUGAGGGCUUUUUCCUUCCUGCCUUGAUACAAAGGAGUCAAGUGGGCACCCAGCAUCUGCCACAGGCAGGAUUACUUCAUCCUCUUCUCUGUGUCCAUUUGAAAAAGCAAACGUGUUUUGUAGGUAGUUUGCAUGUCUAAUGCAACUAAAGCAGGCAGAAAGAAAAGAUCAAAAAAGGUGUCUUUCAUUUCUGUUUCAUUUUUGGAGCUAGUCUGCUAUUGUGUAAAACUGUGUGAUUGAGGCAUUCUUAUUGUAAUUUUGCAGAUACGUGUCUGUAAUGUGAGGCAUUCUACACCUUUUUUUUUUUUUUCCCCUCUUAUAAAAUUUUUUGCUUUCAGUUCUGAAGUAAAUUAAAGGUUUCAGAUUGACAGUUCCCGAUUUAGAUGCUGUCUGUUUGUAACACAGGCGCUGUACAGUAGCAGAAUUGAGCUGCCAGUUUAAUUUCACUUGAGCAUCUCUCCCCUGAUCCAAAGAAACCUUCAUGUCAGCAGAGGAUGUUAGCAAUUGUGCUUUCAGCGUGAGCAUGAACUUUUAUGAAGCAGAAGUUGUGCAGCUGACUGAAGCGAACUAACUGGUAGCAUUGCUCUCCUUCCAUCACUUGCUGGUCAUAAAAACCUGCUUCUUACCCCUCUUCAUAGCAGUUUUCCAAAUUUCUCGAUCUGGCUUCAGUAACACACGAAAGUCUGAAAAUUUUGUGUUGUCUAAUUCUUAAGGCUCAUGCAUUUUAUGCAUUUCUUGGUUUUGGCAUUAAAAAAGAGGGCAGGGAAAAAGAAGAAGAGAAGAAGAAGGAAGAAGGAGGAGAAGGAGAAGGAAAAUCAUCAUCAUCAUCAUCUUGGAUCCUAACAGAAAGGUUUAAGCUGUGAGUGUAACUUGGGGGCUAAACCAAACCUUUUGCUUUUGAACCAUUCCAUGGGUGGUGCUGCUUCUGUUCAAGCACAUUCUGCUUUAAGUGCACUUAUAAUGCAAAAUUAUUUCUAGCAAGAAGAGUGCAAAUAGGGCCAAUAAACAGUGCUCGUUUCUAGGCUCUUUCUGUCUUCCCAUGGGGGAAAAGAAAAUCUUUCCAGAGUCCUUUUGAAGCUGAGCAUGAUGGAAAAAUCAGGCAGACCUUCUUUCUGUCCUGACACUGGCCAUCUUCUGUGCUGGAGCAUGGGGACAGUGGCACGUGUCCAGCAUGCGGACCAAGGUUUCUGCAUGCAGGGCCUCAAGUCCUGCCAUCCCUGGGUACCGGCUGGCACCAGGUCACGUGCAGAAAUCUUGGUCUAGACCAGAGGAGAGAAAAAAAAUGCCUCCUUUAAGGAAACCUGGAGCUAGAAGAGACCAGCAUGGUAUCUCUGCUCCCCACCCUGAGGCUGGCUAGACACCAGGCAGGCUUGCUGCAUGGGGUCCCCCUGACUCCUUGCUGGGUCACUGUCAGCACCCCUGUGCCACCCACUGGAAAUGUGCUGGGUCACAAGCAGAAAUAACAACUUUUGAGUUAAAAAAAAAAAAAAAAGCAUGUGUUCGAUCAGAUUAGGCAGGAACCAUGCGCUGUCUUCAGAGUCAUUUAAAACCGAAUUAAUGGAGUGCACUUGUAAGCUGAGGCGCAGGGAGGCAAGAAAAUCCUUUUUCCCCAGUCUCAGAGGAGCUGCUGUUUCCCUGAAGCAUGUAGUGCCUCGUGAGUGCCUAAAAUGUCCUGGAUCAGUCACAGAGCUGCUGUUCAGAUGGCACCAUGGUAAGCGUACGGGUUUCAUCCCUCUUUACCUAGUGAUGUGUGCUCCCUGUCAUCGUCACAUCCAUUUUGGUUUAAUAGGGACUAGGUUACGCCAGCAGCAUGAUAAUUUGUUUCACAGAGGUUUCCACUUAUCUGAUGAAGACAUUUAGAAAAAAACUGGGGUUGGAUUGACAGAGGAGAAACUACUAGAGGAGGGUCUGGCCUAGCCCAUCUAGCCAUCAACACUAGUGCUGCUGCUGCUUUUUAGGAUCAAUAUCUGGCAGAUGCUGCAGGCUGGAAUGGAAAGAGAGCGAAUGGAAAUGAGGUAUAGGGGGUUCCAAGGGAAGGCAAAAAUAAAAGCAAUUUCAUUGUGAAGUGAACGUUUGUGUUGCAGAAGUAACUAACAUGUUUCAAGCAACUGUGCUUUUAGGAUAUAAACUGGAAGAAUGAACUGUUUUAUGGAAUGAAAAGAUUUUUGAUAGAUUCUGAGUGUGAGACUUUAUGCUAGAAUAAAUUUGUACCAUCUGUUUUGUUCAGAAAAUGAGAUUUUUGUGAAGGAACCAAUAGCAGGACAUUGUCUCUUAGAGACCGUGAUGAAGGAGGGACUUUCUCUCACCCUGGGUUUACAUCCAGAUAUUAUUUUUUUUUCCCCAGCAAGUAUCUUGACUGAAAACCAAAACAUUUUUAAGGCAUGCUCUGCACACUGCUCUGCAGUAUGCUGCACGGAGUAGGGGUAGCUGACUGAAGUAGACCGAUGGGGAAAGCAUAAAAGUUAUUGUACAAAGAGAGACUGUUUAGAUAUCUUUAUUUAGCAAGUGGAGGACGUUGCCAAUAGGAAGGAGAAAAGUGGAGACUCAGCUGUGUUUACAAAGGCGAAAGAAAUUUUCCUGAAGCGAGGCCAACUCUGAUAUGAGCUAUUAAGUUUGCUUGAUUCUGUGGGGCUAAUUCCGAAUAGGAUCCCGAUGUUGUGUUUUUGAGCAAGGGCAUAACCGACAGACCUGCGGCUCGUGUUGGCUUUGCACCCGGGCUUCUAAGAAACUCCUCUUGGUUUGGUACCUGCGGGGCAGCCCCGAUGACUGCAGUACAGCCCAAGACAGGUCGCUCCCUGCGUGGGAUGCACCCAUUCUGCAUGCUUUGGGGAAAAGCUGAGGUUGUGUGGCUGCAAAACAUGCUCGGUGCUAACCCUGCAAGUGCCAAAUGCCUCGCUUUGAUCACCUGCUUUUCCUCCUUCUCCUCUCCCAUCCCAGCGAAUGCUUUCCUUGUGGCCUCGAUCCAACAAACCGUUUAAGUGCACGCAGGUGCAAGUACAAGGUGGGAUUACUAGCACAUCUUACUGUGUAAUAAACUGUAUUUCCAACGAAGAACAACCUACAAAACAAUCCCUGUGCCCACCUGCCCCUGCCAUCCCCAUCCUUUUUUAGUGCUGAGCUGUGAACACCUUCCCAAAGCACCACGCUCAAAGAGGCAAACGAGGAAAUACUAAUUUAAGGUACAAGUCCCUACAGUGCUACCUCUGACAUCUGAAGGUGGUUAUGGCUGUUGGGAAUCACCUGCAGCACUUUGGCUUUCUCCAUGAGGAUGGCUUUACCAGGUGCUAGAGGAGGCAGACCUGUUCCUGGGCCUCAUCGUGCCAUGAGCACGGCUGUCCAAGCACAGUUGGGCUGGUCAUGCAAGGCCACCUGCGAUGCUUGCACCAUCGGUGAUCCGCAUUGUGGAGGUUGUCAGCAGCAGGCACAGGUGGCGGUGACUUGAAGAUUGCCAUCCAUGAAAAGCUAGAUGAGGGUGAGUAAUUUUUUUCACAGGGUUUCCUAUUAAUCACAUUUUUUUUCCUGUUACCUAGGAUCAUGUAGGCUGUUGCUGACCUUAUGUAGGUGUGUGUGUGAGAUACUGCAGCGGUAUGGUGAAGAUAAAGGAUGCUACAUGUUUCUGAGUGAAUUGUAACACUGCUUGUGCUCAGCCUUCUAAAUGUUUUGAGUAUGCAGCGUCUGAUAAAGAAUUCAUCUGCCAUGUUAUCUGCCAUGAAAACCUGGCAAGUUGUUACCCAAUGGCUUAGAUAUCUUCAAACCCAUAGGAGAGACCAAAUCUAUUUUUGCCUCCAGCCUGCCUCAGGUAAGUGCCAGACAUGAGCAUCCUAAUCUUGUCACUCACACUUUUGACCCAUUUGCUAUUAGCUUGGGAGCCUUGUACUUUGGCUCCUUUCCUACUGCAGAUGCAGGUGAGGAGCAGCAGUGGUUCUGAGGGGUCUCCUCUGUCUCACACUCACUCUAAUCAAAGCACCAUAGAAAGGUUUGGGUUGAAAGGCACCUUAGACAUAGCUAAGUACUAUCCCUUUCCUUAAACAUGAGCCCUUGGCCUUCUUGUUUCCCAUUACUGAUUCCUUUCCUAAUAAUUUCACCCUCUGUAUUAUUCCCUCAUUUCUCCUUAUUCCAAAAUUUUCUGCCAGGGAAAAUUUAUUUAGCUUCAAGAGCUUUUUGGAUCUCUUGCAGCACUCAAAUUACAGCUCCCUGAAGUAAGCCCUGCCCCUCCUCACCACCUUUGCAGUAGUGCCAGACUGUAAGAGCACACUAUUAAUUUUUUUACUUCCUUCCACUCCCUGCUUGAACACGCAGCAAAUACUGUUUAGGUUUCAGGGCUAUUGAAACCUCCCAAUAAAAGAAAAAAGUGGAAGGCUUCUCAUGACCUGCUCGAGUACAUGUACUGUGGCCUGUUUGGUUGAAAGUCUUGCACGUAUGACUGCCCUGGAGUGCUGUGAGCUAUAACCCAGAUCAAGAAGCUAUCAGGGGGAAAUAUUUUUGCAGCCUCCCUCUUCAGCCCUGACCCAACUGGACUUCCAGGAUUUGUCCCUCUCCUAACCCUAAAUGCUGGCCUAGCCUUCAAUGUCAUCGAGGAAGACAAGCCACAGCAGAGAUGACAGAGUUGCCAGUGGCAAAAUCCUAAUGAGGCCAGUCCCUCCUCCUGAGGGAGUGCCUUGGCACCCCAUACCACGUGGAGCUUUAGGCUUUCACCUGGUCCCAAAAUUAACCCCAAAUCUGAGCAUUUGCCGAGGAGACCAAGCCAUUGCCAGGAUAAAGAAGUCAUCAGGAGAGAAAGCUCUUUGCAGCCUCCCCCUUCCUUCUGAAGUGCAUUGACAAUCCCAUGCCAGCUGGAGCUGUAGAUCUUGUAGGUGUCCCAACUCCAACCUCAAGCUGAGGUGUGGGCUGCCCUGUAGAUGUGAACACUCAGCCAUAACAGACAAAAAUUUACCAAGCGAGUAAGUUCCUCACUGUUUAAUCCAGUCUUUUUCCAAACCGUUUGCAGACCCAUGCCAGCUGGAGCUCUAGACUUCAUCCCUCCUCCAUCCCUAGCCCCAUUCUAGCCCUAAAGCCUGAGCAAGGCUCAUCCAUAGCCAGGCACCCUGAGGCAAAGUUCCAGAUGAAAAAGCAAUCAGAGGAUGUCUUUUUGCUCUUGCUUUCAAAAGCCUUUUAGCCUUUCUGAGCUAAAUGGAGCUUUAAACUUUGCCCCUUUCCCUACCUUUAUCCCAACUCUAAUGCUGUGGCGAUGAGCCCUUUACCAAGGACCCAAACCAAGAAGCUGUCAAAGGAAUGGAAGAACCUUUUGGAAGAACAUCACUUCUUCGGCAGCAUGUGAGAAACCCAGCAUCAACUGAAGUUUUAGGGUUUCCCUCUCCUAAAGCAAAAGCCCGACUGUGAUUUGACUGUAGCUAGGACAACCAGCCAUGGUCAUGAUGAAGAUGUCAGAUGCACAGUCUUUUAGAAGUCUAACUCAUACCUUAACCCUAACACCAGACAUGGAAUGAACCCUGGGCCAAGACCCUCAGCCAUCAUUUAAAGGAACAAAAAUUCAGGACAGAAAUAUUUUUGUUGCCUGCUCUUUACUUUAGAAGACCCAUGGCAGCCCCGUGCCUACUGGAGCUCCUCUCCCAAACCUACUCCAACCCCAUGCUCUUACCUGAGCUUAUCUACAGCCAAAGGCCUGCAUGCAUGGCCCAGAUGAGAAAGUUGUCAGCAGAUACAUUUUUUUCAGCCUACACAUUGCUUCAGCAGUCCAGUGCCAGCUGCAUCUGUAGGCUUUGUCCCUCUCCAAAUCGUUAGUGUUACAGUAACCCAAAUUUUGACUUUAACCCUAUUCUAGUGCUGAGAUACUGACAAUUUCGAGCCUUCAUACUAGUUAUGAGGUGACACCCUUUUACGUUUUAAGGCCCGUCUUCCUUUUGACUCUGUUUUAGUACCUUAGCUAUGCUAUAAAAGUUAUAGGUUAUUAACAGAGCUGGGUGUUGGCAGUGUUUUUGUGACUGCUGUUUAUGGUUCAUUCUCUCUAAUUAAAAAAAAAAAAAAAAAAAAAAGAAAGCCAUCUGCCAGGUAGCACUGUUGUGUCUGUGAUUAAUUGUAGGGAGGAUGAGAGACCGGGUAGCAAGGAUCAUCCUGCCUUUUCGGGUGUGGGGUGAGCAUCACUCACCCCCUCUUGAAGACCCUCUCCUGGCAUUCAACUGGGCAGAACAGAAGGAUCUAACCAGCUUCAUGUCCUUUUUUAUCAAUCUCUCGUUUUUCCUACUGUUAGAGCCGAGAGGAACAGCCUGUUUAUUUACACAUGGUGUCUCCCACCCAUCAGCUGGAGCAAGCCACGGAUCCCUGCCAUCUGAAUCCUGAGAGCAAUUUCCCUUUCUCCCUCUUGGACUCUGUGUGCCCGUGUUGGAAAGUAACUUAAAAAUAAUAAUAAUAAAAGAGAAGGCUUCCCAUAUUUGGAGAGAAUAAUUAUUCUCUGCAGCUCCUGGUACAACAUGUUCCAACAGGCUGAAGGCACAGGAGUUCAACAGGGGGCCUCUAGAUUGAGCUCACUAUUUCCUCUGCUGUGUUUUAAUGCUGGGAAAGCUGGGACAUCCAUCCCAAUGUGAUGUACUGAAGCCUCAGCACCUGUCUGCCCCAGGUGGUAGCCACACAGGAGGGCUAGCAGGAGGUGACACCAGUGAGUCAUCCGUGAACGAACACCCAAAUCUCCCCCCUGCCCAUCAGGAACAGGGCUGUGGAGAAGUUUGGGCCUUUUUGAGGUCUAUUUAUGAGCUGUGAUCCCUAUCACCAGAUGAGAUGACUGCUUUCCUCCACAACCACAGAGGUCUUCUCUCCCGUGCAAGCAAAUCACCAAAUCCUAUGUACUUCUGCAAGCAAAGUCAUUCAUUCCCAGGAUGAAACUUGUAGGGCCAUGAGUUACCUGUUAUUCUGAAAAAAAGGGAACCCAGGAGAUGGUGUUGGGCAGCCAGAAGGCAAAAGUAAGCAUUAAGAGAAUUAGUUUCCAGCAGGAAAAUGAAUGCAUCACAUGUAGAAAGUGGAACAGCAAAUGUUAACAAACCCUUGCCCUGUUGGUGUGCCCGGUGGAGAUUAUUGUUUCAUGUUUCUCCAAGUAAGGGUUAUCUCCUGUGGCUUCUCAGAUCCUUAUCAAAACAAGGAAACCUGGUUCUCCAGAUCCACCCAGCUGUAUUUAAAGCUCUGAGUCCCUAAAUCUGAGCCAUGACGCAAGCCUUGAGGACUGAACCUAGACCAACACGAUGGAAAUCAGCAUAAGCCUGCAGCAAAUGCAACUGCUUUUUAAGAAAGCUUGAGGGUGUGAGGCUAGGAAGGGAAAAUGAAUCUGGAAGUUGGAGGAAAAAUGGAAAAAUUCAUAGUCAUGAAAGAAAAGUGCUUCAUCAAGGGUUCCUGUAGGCAAAUGCCAAGUCAAGCAGUGAUGAACGGUAACUGCCCACACCUCACUCACGGGCUGUGGUGGGAUGGAAAUUAAUAGACUACACGGAGCGCCCUCAUUCAGCAAGGAGAGCCCUGCUGCACUUUCACUAGGCACACAAGGGCUUGCCUGAGUGGUUUCGGUGGUGCCUUACAUACAUCUGUGAUAAGUGAAGCAGGACAGCCCUCUGGCACGGGUGCAGUCACUGGCAGCACCCAAUUCCCAUGUGCCUAGCAGAGGAAGCUACAUGGACACGAACAGCUCCCAGCUGAUCCAGCUACAACCCGCACGAAGGCUCGUACCGCAGCGGUGACACCGGCAGUAAAUCACUGCUCCCUACCCAAAGGUAGUAAAACUGUUCAAACAACAAAGCAAACACAAACAACCCAUGUAUCACGGUUUGAAAAAAAAAAAAAAAGGAAAAAAAGCAA